GGCAGUGGGCGGGGCUGCGCCAGGUAUGGGGAGACUGACGGGGCUGGCCCCACCCACCCCGGAGGGCAGUGGGUCACCAUGGGGGACAGGGAUGGGGACUCCCCGGCGCCCCUGCCUGGAGCUGAAGCCAGCCCUGGAGGAACUCCCGGGGACAUCAGAGUGCAGUGGCACCCGGGAUGCCGCUGCCCAGAAGUGGCUGCUCAGCCUGGCCUCUAACCUGCCAGGUCUUCAAGCCCAAACACAGCCAGGCAUCAUGCCCAGGACAGUGGCACCCUGUCCUUGGAACCACCCUGGGCACACAUAGCCCGUGUCUCUACUGGCUGGAGGGAACAUGGAGUGGCUCUUUGGCCAGUGGAGUCGGUCACCCCACUGGGUUCUGCUCCCCUAUCACUCAGAGGCAUCAGGUGUGGAAAGGGCACGGGACAGGGUCUGUCCCUGCGGGUGGCUCCCGGGAAGAAGCACCGAUAUGUUGAAAAGCAGACAGAAUUUGCAUCUCAACAGCAUCCAGAGUAUCUGGAUGGGGCCCUUCACUCAGGUUUUAGGUGAUGGAUUAAUGUCCAGCACAGAGGAAAGGUGGCAGCCAAGCUGGAGGGGCAGCAGGGGUACUUUGGUGGAAAAAAAGCUGUUGAUUUGGGGAAAGGAUGUGCUUGGAGCAGCUGGGAAUAUGCCUGGACAAGGCAUGGGGAGGGUGAAGAGGGCGGGAUGGCAGCAGAGGGAGCUGGGGACAGCUUGGCCCUGCUCCAUGUCCAGGGAUGGAAAGUACCAGUAAAGCAGAGCUGUCCAGACCUACUGCAGGAGAGGAAGGGAAACUGUGGCUGAAGCAAGGGUAAAAAUGGGACCAGUGGGAGCAGACUUGGAUGAGCUCAGAGCGGGAACAACACACAGGAGAUGACUUAGGGAUGGAAAUAAACACCAAGGAUCAGGUCUGGGGGGGCUUUUGCAGGAAGAAAACCCACCAGGGUGUGAAGUUGGAUGCAGGAUCAUGUGCACGGCUCUACUCACCUUCCCGCUCAGGUUACCUCAGACAUCAAUUAUUUACUCAUACUGCUAAAGUUGUUCAAGUGUCUCAAUUUUCCUGGGAAUGCAAAUGUGGGAAACCUGAGGACAUGCCCAGGCAUGGUGUUCCUUUCGUGCUGCCUGUUGGGCAACAGCAGCUGAGGGAGAACAAGACACAGCCAAGGGCUCCUCCUUUCCUUUCUUGUCAGUGCUGAUAAUUUUCAUAGGAAGUUGAGCAACAGGGACACCAAAUCCUGCAGUUCUGCUGCCAUCAGGAUGAGCUGGAUGCAGCCCUGCCAUGGGAGUGUUGCAAUGACUGUUCCCUCUUUGCUGGUGUUUCAUGUGGUGAUUCAACAGUCAUCACCUCAACCUUGGCACAAAUCUUUGGGCACAGCAAAGGUCACCAAGAGAGGAGAAAAAAUACCACAAGUGAAAAUCCUGCCAUAUUUUAAGAUAAAUGUUUGUGUUUCACAUGGUGUUUGAUGUUUGCGUCCCCUUCAAAUUCUCCUGGUUGGAUUAAGGGGCAUGUCCUGGACAUGUCCUUCCUUCUACAGGGAAGGUCUUCUUUGUUUAGGUUAGGUUAGACUUGGGAUCUUCCCUCCUUGGGACCUUCCCUCCUUCUUCCUCUUUCCAUGCUGUAAUUGUCCACCGCAGACAUCCUUGUGCCAUGAUGGAGCCAAGGAGUGAAAUUCCUUCUGUGCUUGACUAGUUGGCAAAGACUGGAUAUUCAACAGUCGCAUGAGCUGAAGUGUUGAGGGUGAAAACGGAGUUAGAAAGACACAGGACUUCAGUGGGGCAGGGAUGAUGCUUCAGGGGUGAUGUCUGCUCUCUGUCAGGCUCUCCUGUUUCUUCACUCAUGUUUUGGACUGCCAUAGGAUAUUUCCCUUCAUUCCCAGCAGGUUUAUGGCCAGCAGGUCAUAAGUGCAGGUGCAACUGCAGACUCACAGAGGUAGUGUGUGAGAUUCCCAAGCAAAGCAGCAGCUCACUCCUGGAAGGCUGGAGGUGUGGAAAGAUCUCCUUCCUGAUACAGCUCAGCUCUUCCUGCACCAACCUGUUCCUUCUUUUUGUAAACCCAUCACUGGAGAGAUGCUUGGACAUCAAAACUGAGGGAAGUGCCCUUGAAGUUGCAGCAGGACAUGCCCUGAGCUUCAGUCCUUGUCCCUGCCGUGCAGGUUUUCGGUGGAAGGGAGGCAGCACGUCGUGGUGGUGUGUUCUCAUCUCCUGGGCUGCAAAGUCACCAAAUAACUCUCUUGUGUCUCCCAUCCUGAGCAUUGUUCCAGUGCCUGGCUGUGCUCCAUCAUGAGCCGUAAUGUCCCACACCACUGCAGGCUCUCCUGUUCUGAGUCCUGCUAUGUCCCAGGGAUGAGGACAUGGAGUGGAGACAGUGCCUGGGGCUGGGAGGAGCUAGAGAAAUUCCAUAUUUGUUUCCCAGUGCUCAUGAUUGCAGGGGCUUUAUACCAGAAGAUGUGGCUGCAUGGUCCCUGUGCCGUUGGGACAAUUCCAAGGGUAAUCCAUCCUGACAAGGGCGAGGGCUGGGACAAGACACUUCUUUAAAAUUCCUGCAGGAAAUCUAAAACAUCUUGCAUUUUAGGUUCUUUUGAUGCAGGUUUUUCUAGAAAACUCAGGGAGUAGCAAAGGGAAACGGGGAUCACUUGGGCUGCCCAGAGCCGCCACUACCUCUGGCACAUUUACACACUGGGUCCUUAGGACUGUCUGCAGCAAUAAAAGCAGUUUAUGACUCAGUAAUUACCCUGCAAAGACAUAUUUGCAGCAGAAGGUGAUUGCUGAUCUGGCUGCAUCUCCACUCCUGCCAUCAGAGUCCCCAGGGUAGUGCUGGGGAUGUCAGACCCUCCUGGGAAGGGUUUCCCAGUGGGAAGGUGUGGCAUUUUCAUGUCAUGCAGAACUCUGAAUGCAGCUGAUGCCAUAUCUCCUCAGGAAGGUUUUAAUGUCCCUAAUAUCCAUGAGCCAUCCCACAGGGGCUGCAAAGCUGUUUUGCGUCCUGCCUUGCUGCUGGAGGAGUCUUCUCCAAAACCAGGUACAGAGAGAUGGUGCAAAAGAAAGAGAAAAGUAUCAGGUGCAAAUGAAAUGUUUGGGGUUUUUUUCCUCACUGUCAGUUAAUAAAUCUGUUUGAUAUGUGAGCCAAACUUUUUCACAGCCAAAUGCAGGUUAAAAGCAGCUUUGUGCCCAUCCUGUCCCUGUAAUGGGCUGUUGUCACCUCUGGGCCACCAUCACAACCCCAUUAACACAAUGAAUCCUUUCCUCCCAUCAUUUUUAUAUUUGGGAAUAUUGUCCUGUAUCUCCCAGACACAGCAACCCAGCUGGUUUCAGACCAGACCCAGCUCAGUCUUACUUGCAGUCGUAAAGGAAAUACCAUUUA